rnacentral:rRNA from 1 species
UACGUAGGGUGCAAGCGUUGUCCGGAAUUAUUGGGCGUAAAGAGCUCGUAGGCGGCCUGUCGCGUCGGCUGUGAAAACCCGGGGCUCAACCCCGGGCCUGCAGUCGAUACGGGCAGGCUAGAGUCCGGCAGGGGAGACGUGGAAUUCCUGGAUGUAGCGGUGAAAUGACGCAGAUAUCAGGAGGAACACCGGUGGCGAAGGCGGGUCUCUGGGCCGGAACUGACGCUGAGGAGCGAAAGCGUGGGGAGCGAACAGG